AUUGAACGCUGGCGGCAGGCUUAACACAUGCAAGUCGAGCGGAGCGAGGGUGCUUGCACCUUAGCUUAGCGGCGGACGGGUGAGUAAUGCUUAGGAAUCUGCCUAUUAGUGGGGGACAACAUUCCGAAAGGGAUGCUAAUACCGCAUACGCCCGACGGGGGAAAGCAGGGGAUCUUCGGACCUUGCGCUAAUAGAUGAGCCUAAGUCGGAUUAGCAGGUUGGUGGGGUAAAGGCCUACCAAGGCGAAGAUCUGUAGUGGGUCUGAGAGGAUGAGCCGGCAAACUGGGACGGAGACACGGCCCAGACUCCUACGGGAGGGAGCAGUGGGGAAUAUUGGACAAUGGGCGGAAGCCCGAUCCAGCCAUGCCGCGUGUGUGAAUAAGGCCUUUUGGUUGUAAAGCACUUUAAGCGAGGGGGAGGCUACUAGUAUUAAUACUACUGGAUAGUGGACGUUACUCGCAGAAUGAGCGCCGGCUAACUCUGUGACAGCAGCCGCCGUAA
rnacentral:rRNA from 1 species